rnacentral:sRNA from 1 species
UUCUCAAUUUAUCAGGGUCCAGCAACAAAAAACCCCGACUUUCGGGGUUUUUUGUUAUCUGAAUUUUUCAUCCGAAAAUUCAGGUGCUUGCUUGGAAUUUAAAUUGGGCUCUAUGCCCUUUUUUU